GCAUCAGUAGCGCAAUUGGAUAGAGCACUGGUCCUCGAAACCAGGUGUUGUGGGUUCGAGUCCCGCCUGAUGCA
rnacentral:tRNA from 1 species